GCAAGUCGAGGGGUAACAUUGUGCUUGCACAGAUGACGACCGGCGCACGGGUGCGUAACGCGUAUAGAACCUACCUUUUACAGAGGGAUAGCCUUUGGAAACGAAGAUUAAUACCUCAUAGUAUCAUUUAACGGCAUCGUUUAGUGAUUAAAGGUUACGGUAUGAGAUGACUAUGCGUCCUAUUAGUUAGUUGGUAAGGUAACGGCUUACCAAGACUACGAUAGGUAGGGGCCCUGAGAGGGGGAUC
rnacentral:rRNA from 1 species